AGCAUCUAAGCGCCAAGCCCCCCUGAAGAUUAGGUAUCCCAUUAAGACUCCCGGAAGACUACCGGGUUGAUAGGCCGGAGGUGUAAGGUCAGUGAUGGCUUCAGCUAACCGGUACUAAUCAGUCGAUCGGCUUGACCACCUUUUUCU
rnacentral:rRNA from 1 species